rnacentral:rRNA from 20 species
UAGGACUCUCGGCAAUGGAUAUCUUGGCUCUUGCAUCGAUGAAGAACGCAACGAAAUGCGAUACGUGGUGCGAAUUGCAGAAUCCCGUGAACCAUCGAGUUUUUGAACGCAAGUUGCGCCUGAGGCCAACUGGCCAAGGGCACGUCCGCCUGGGCGUCAUGC